rnacentral:rRNA from 1 species
UUCUGUAAGCCUGUGAAGGUGUACUGUGAGGUAUGCUGGAGGUAUCAGAAGUGCGAAUGCUGACAUAAGUAACGAUAAAGCGGGUGAAAAGCCCGCUCGCCGGAAGACCAAGGGUUCCUGUCCAACGUUAAUCGGGGCAGGGUGAGUCGACCCCUAAGGCGAGGCCGAAAGGCGUAGUCGAUGGGAAACAGGUUAAUAUUCCUGUACUUGGUGUUACUGCGAAGGGGGGACGGAGAAGGCUAUGUUGGCCGGGCGACGGUUGUCCCGGUUUAAGCGUGUAGGCUGGUUUUCCAGGCAAAUCCGGAAAAUCAAGGCUGAGGCGUGAUGACGAGGCACUACGGUGCUGAAGCAACAAAUGCCCUGCUUCCAGGAAAAGCCUCUAAGCAUCAGGUAACAUCAAAUCGUACCCCAAACCGACACAGGUGGUCAGGUAGAGAAUACCAAGGCGCUUGAGAGAACUCGGGUGAAGGAACUAGGCAAAAUGGUGCCGUAACUUCGGGAGAAGGCACGCUGAUAUGUAGGUGAAGCGACUUGCUCGUGGAGCUGAAAUCAGUCGAAGAUACCAGCUGGCUGCAACUGUUUAUUAAAAACACAGCACUGUGCAAACACGAAAGUGGACGUAUACGGUGUGACGCCUGCCCGGUGCCGGAAGGUUAAUUGAUGGGGUUAGCGCAAGCGAAGCUCUUGAUCGAAGCCCCGGUAAACGGCGGCCGUAAAAUAACGGUCCUAAGGUAGCGAAAUUCCUUGUCGGGUAAGUUCCGACCUGCACGAAUGGCGUAAUGAUGGCCAGGCUGUCUCCACCCGAGACUCAGUGAAAUUGAACUCGCUGUGAAGAUGCAGUGUACCCGCGGCAAGACGGAAAGACCCCGUGAACCUUUACUAUAGCUUGGCACUGAACAUUGAGCCUUGAUGUGUAGGAUAGGUGGGAGGCUUUGAAGUGUGGACGCCAGUCUGCAUGGAGCCGACCUUGAAAUACCACCCCUUAAUGUUUGAUGUUCUAACGUUGACCCGUAAUCCGGGUUGCGGACAGUGUCUGGUGGGUAGCUUGACUGGGGCGGUCUCCUCCUAAAGAGUAACGGAGGAGCACGAAGGUUGGCUAAUCCUGGUCGGACAUCAGGAGGUUAGUGCAAUGGCAUAAGCCAGCUUGACUGCGAGCGUGACGGCGCGAGCAGGUGCGAAAGCAGGUCAUAGUGAUCCGGUGGUUCUGAAUGGAAGGGCCAUCGCUCAACGGAUAAAAGGUACUCCGGGGAUAACAGGCUGAUACCGCCCAAGAGUUCAUAUCGACGGCGGCGUUUGGCACCUCGAUGUCGGCUCAUCACAUCCUGGGGCUGAAGUAGGUCCCAAGGGUAUGGCUGUUCGCCAUUUAAAGUGGUACGCGAGCUGGGUUUAGAACGUCGUGAGACAGUUCGGUCCCUAUCUGCCGUGGGCGCUGGAGAACUGAGGGGGGCUGCUCCUAGUACGAGAGGACCGGAGUGGACGCAUCACUGGUGUUCGGGUUGUCAUGCCAAUGGCACUGCCCGGUAGCUAAAUGCGGAAGAGAUAAGUGCUGAAAGCAUCUAAGCACGAAACUUGCCCCGAGAUGAGUUCUCCCUGACUCCUUGAGAGUCCUGAAGGAACGUUGAAGACGACGACGUUGAUAGGCCGGGUGUGUAAGCGCAGCGAUGCGUUGAGCUAACCGGUACUAAUGAACC